GAAAAUCAUUACUCUGUUUCGUUCAGUUGAGUGAGUGCGGGAUUUCCAAGGACGAAGAAGAAGAAGAACAGCAACAAGACCACCCUUCUGAACCACCCAAAUCGGGUUCUCGGAACUGAAAAAACCCUUGUUUUGGAUUGUUCCUCCACCGCCGUCGCCUUCAGCUUCUGGUUUUUUGCUUUGCAAUGUAGGGAGCUGUUACGAUUCGUUACAGGGUGAUGGCCAAGUGUGAGUCUAACAGCGUCGGCUCAGUCGCAGUCGAGGGUAUCGCCGGCGCCAAUGCAGCUACUCGUUAUUUCCGAUUAUGUACGGCGUUUUCUGGAGCUGCAUUUCGCCGGAGAAUCUACGAUACUGUUAGUUGCGGUGGGAGUUCUCGGUACCGCCACCGGUACAAGGAUCAGAGCAUGGACGAUGAGUCGAGGACUGGGGAUUUGAAAGAGGAGAAGCAGCGGAGGAAUCGGAAAGUGGCUAAUGGAAGAUCGGAGAAGCUUGCGGAUCUUUUGAAUUUAGUGGAGUCGGUGGAGAUGGAGAGUGAAGUGGAGACGAGGAAGAAGGAGGAAGCCUUGGAGGAGUUGAAACGCACGGUGAAGGAUUUGCAGGUUGAGGAUUUGGUGAAGCGAAAAGCAGCGGCUAGUAAUGUGAGGCUUAUGGCGAAGGAGGAUUUGGUUAUACGAGGGACGCUUGCGCUUCUCGGUGCUAUUCCGCCUCUUGUUGCGAUGCUUGAUUUGGAAGAUGAACAAUCUCAGAUCGCUGCGCUUUACGCGUUGCUAAACCUUGGAAUCGGAAACAAUCCGAACAAGGCAGCUAUUGUGAAAGUGGGAGCCAUUCACAAAAUGUUGAAGCUCAUUAAACCAGAGAGUGCUUCGAACUCAUCGGUUACGGAGGCAAUAAUUGCUAACUUCCUCGGCUUGAGCGCCCUGGACUCGAACAAGCUCGUAAUCGGGUCGUCUGGUGCGAUUCCAUUCUUGGUAAAAUCUCUACAAAACAAGGACCAUAACAUUAGCAAUCAGGCACGGCAGGAUGUUCUAAGGGCGCUUUUCAAUCUGUCAAUUGCAGCAUCAAAUGUCUCAAUCAUGUUAGAAACAGAUUUAAUCCCAUUUCUUCUCAACAGCUUAGGAGACAUGGAAGUAAGUGAAAGGAACCUUUCAAUUUUAAGCAACGUGGUAUCAACCCCAGAAGGUAGAAGAGCAGUAAGCAUUGUUCCAGACGCAUUCCCAAUACUAGUUGAUGUUUUGAACUGGACAGAUUCACCUGGCUGCCAAGAAAAGGCGUCCUACGUUCUAAUGGUGAUGGCACACAAGCUAUAUGGUGAACGACAGACAAUGGUAGAAGCAGGCCUUGUAUUUGCUUCUCUUGAAUUAACGCUCUUGGGUAGCGCAUUGGCUCAAAAGAGGGCAUCCAGAAUCUUGGAGUUCUUGAGAUAUGAUAAAGGGAAGCAAAUCUCUGAAAGUUUUGGUGGGAAUCAUGGUGCUGCUGUGUCUGCUCCCAUUAUUGGGACUUCAUCUUCUUCAAAUCAUAAUUUCGACGCCCAGAUCUGUAUGGAAGAAUCUGAGGAAGCCAUGAGCGUGGAGAAAAAAGCUGUGAAGCAAUUAGUCCAACAGAGUCUGCAGUACAACAUGAGGAAAAUUGUGAAGAGGGCCAAUUUGCCUCAUGAUUUUGUUCCUUCAGAGCAUUUUAAAUCGCUCACAGCAAGUUCAACUUCCAAAAGCCUACCGUUUUGACAUAUCAUGGUAGAUCUAAAGCUAGUGUUCAUAGUGUUCAUACAGAAGUCUUUCAAGUCUCUUGUUCUUCCAGCCUCCUCUGCUUCCAAAUUCAACCAAACCCAUGUCAAAUGCUUUGAAGUAUGAUAUCAUCUUCCCUGGCGGUGGAGUAGUUGAUUGUCCGAUGCUGUGGUUGUUUUGGCAGGCAUAACAAAAGAUCUGGAGCGGGAGAACUUGCUGAGCUGUUUUAGCAGAGGCAUAAUAAUGACCAAGGCAUGUCUUGAGCACGAGGUACUGUUCUUAAAUAUAGAAUUCGGUGAAUUCAUUGUGUGCUAUUAGGCUAUGUUGAGUAGUUUAGUUAUUUAAUUAGAGUUGCAGUUCUUCUUGUCUUUUGCAAUGCCUCUGUAUAUGUUUCAUCUUAUGGUCUGUAGAUAACUUUAAAUUAUGUCAACCUCGUCGCCCCCAGGAACGGUUUCGGAACCUUGACCGUCUGUCUUUCAAUAGUUGAGCCUAUUGAGGUUGGAAAAAACCUUUCAACAAGCCUACCAUAA